AGGCUUGGUGCUGGUGUCACCGCAUGGACACAGGCUUGGUGCUGGUGUCACUGCAUGGGCACAGGCUUGGUGAUGAUGUCACUGCAUGGGCACAGGCUUGGUGCUGGUGUCACUGCUGUAGGCACAGGUUGGCUAACUUGAAGUGUGCAUCAAAGGUUAUCCUUUUUUCCCCAAACACAGGGAGACUUUAAGUGAGCUGAAGAACCCUCCAUCCUCACUGGGCCCUGAGGGGUCCUUUGAGCAGUAUUUGUUUCUGGACUCUACCUUGUUAACAUCUGGAAAUUAAAAACAGCACCGCCCAGGGCUGAGCUAGUACCUGGCUAUUGCUGACCACAGCGACAAUGAAGGGUGGCUCUCAAAAGCCAAAAGGCAUUCUCAGUCAGGCAGUUUCCAGAGUCCAGGCCUCUUCUUCAUGCAGGUGGACCCACACCCUUUCAAAGGUGCCUCAUGGGACUACCACCGUAUCUUCCCCACCAUGACGGUUGUACCCACUGAAACUGAGGGCCAGAACACACCGCUUUCCCACUAGGUUGCCUUUGUCAGAUAUUUUAUCACAGCAACGAGAAAACCAACACAGCAGGUAAGAAUAUACAAUGUUUGGGCUGAGAGGGUGGCUCAGUGAAGUGCCUGUCACACAGUCCCAAGGACCUGAGUUCAGAUUCCAGAAUACAGGUAAAAAGUUGAGCAUGGUGGUGCAUGCUUGUACAGACUGUGCUGGGGGUAGGGGGAGAGGCAGUAGGAUCCCUGAGGCUAAUUGGCCAACCUAGAUGAAUAGAUGAGCUCCAGGUUGAAUGAGAGUCCUUGUCUCAAAAGAUAAGAUGGGAAACAAUCAGGGGAGGCACCGGACUUGAACCUCUAGGCCCAACACAUAUGCAUGUGCACAUAUACACAUAUGUAUGUUUAUGGGUGCAUCCACCCACAUGAAUGUGUAUACACACACACACACACACACACACACACACACACACACACACACGUGACUUAAAGCCACAACGAGUGAUUUUUCCAUCCAGGGAACAUAGUUCAAGAGGAAGAGAAAGCCUUGUGCAGAAAGCUGGGUUAGCACAAACCAAAUGAAACGACCCCUUGGGACAACAAGGAUUCACUUGUCCAUGUGGGGUGGGUGAGAAAGGUUCUCCACUACUGUGUGGUCAUGGGGGGCAUUUCAAACAAUUGAUGGUGAGGCAAGAGGGCAAAGUGUGGAAGUGGAGAGGAUUCAGGAAAGAGCUGAAAGAGUCAAUGUAGCCAGGGUUUGCAAGGAUGUGUGUGUGUGUGUGUGUGUGUGUGUGUGUGUGUGUGUGUGUGUGUGUAGAGUUGGGACGCAGGGGUAGAACCCUCACGGAAGAACUUGGGUUCCAGGAGGAGUGGUUUAGCCAUGAUUCUACUAGAGGAAAACUGGCAACUGGAGAUAGCUGGGAAAUGUAAGUGUCAUGGAUUCCUAGGAGCAGGAAUUGCAGUUAGCCAGGCUAGAUGAGUUCUGAAGAAAGUGCCUGGAACAAAGGCCAAGUGUGGUUGUCCUAGGACCCACUGGGAGGGGACAGUAUUCACACAUGUAGGGUCUUGCUCUAUCUCAGACCUUGCCAAGAAAAUCUAGUUUCUACCACAACCAGGAAGCUGGAGGCUAAGUCUCAGGGUUAAAUUCCAAGUGAGAUCUCUGAGGAAGGGAUAUUUGUCUAUUCAGUCUGGAAUAGGAAUGGCAAGUAUGAUUCUUGCAUGAGAAGGGGAGGGAAGAGAGAUAGAGCAUGGAUGGACCUACGCAUGGAUGACUUCUCAGAUUCAGCCCUGACCUACCAGGAACUGAGUUGCAACAUACAGUUGACUUAGUCAAGGGAGAAGGGCAAGUACAAAAUCAUAUGACCUUUUGUCAUCGAGCCACUGGUGCAGGUGGCUCCCGGUGGGGGAGUGAGAAUUGUAAUCUGUGGACAAUGCAGGCCCUGUGUCCUGGACCAUUUUCUGGAGAAGGGUCGGGGACGAUCCACUGGCAGCAGCAUCAGGAGCAGCAGAGAACAGACACCGUAAUAAGGAAAGAGGGUCAGAGAGGCUACCAGCCCAUCCAUGACAGCUCUGUCUUGGGGACAGGAGACAAUACUCUCUCAAAACUAGUUCUGUCUGUCUGUCCAUCAUGAGAGCAUCAUCGGACCAGUUAGUUUUAGUAUGUUAUCUAUCCCUUCCAGUCUCCUUGGUCCCAUGGCCAUUCCACGAGGUCCACUAAGAUUAACUCUUUCCUUGUCUGCUUCUCCACCAGAGAGAGCCUCUUGAGGGCUAGAGUCAGCCUCACCAUCCCAUGGUCCUUCUCAACCCCAGAGGCUGCCCCAUCCUUGGCACAGAAGAGACAAAGUGAUGUUGCUUGGCAUCAGGGGUCCUCUACCCAUGUUCCCUAUGCCCACACGACCACCCUCUGUCUAUACCCAGAUUCAGAGCUGUUGAUUAAACUCUGACCCUGAGAGAUGGUGAUAAGCUACAUGUGAAAAUCAGGCAGCUGUACUGAGAGUCUUCAGCCUUGUUUUUUUUUUUUUUUUGUUAUCUAUACCUUUAAAAAGUUUAUUUAAAACAAAUUAUAUGGUAAAUUUCUCCUCCCUGUUCUCUGAAUGGCACUGUGGAAGGCAAUUUUGCAAUGUCUCUCUUGGAAAGAGAGAGGAGAGAGAGGGGAAAAAAAACCUAGGAGAUUUUAAAGCGGGAUAAUUAUUUGUAUCAGCAGGAAAUCGGAAGUCUGUGUCGGCUCUGAACAGGUACUGGGAGAGCCUGGCUGUUUAAUUUCCCUUAAACUCCAUUUGCACGCAUUUAGUGCUCGGAGGCUCACACUCGGUGUCAGGGAAUGGUGGGGAAGUCGAUGGAGGGAAAGGAAAGGAAGGGGGUGACAAACUAGAAGGCUGAAAAUAGUUUAUACUAAAAAGCUGGAUUUCUGUGUUUACCAGUAAUGGGCUUUGGGAGCGCAGGGACUUUCAAUAGCCUGGGCUUGCCCUCCCUCCUCAGCUGUUGUGCUAUGGAGAUGUUGGCAAGAUCCUGGAUCCUUUAGGUACUUGGAGAUGUGCUGUGACCACUUCCUGAGUGUCCUGUGGGCAGAUGACUGGCUGAGUCACAGCCUACUUAGCCCACAUUGCUCCUGGUCUGUAAGAAAAGCAAUUUAAGGAGCCGCAUAAACUUUCCUCAGCUGUCUCUGGAGGCUCUGCAGCUGCAUUGCCCGAUGAAUUAGAGACCAGGGAACCUGAGGGGCCACGUGUCAUCCGUCCAAUGUAAAUUCCAUUAAGUGGAAGCCUCUUCUUCGUCAAUGCCCAUUAGUAUCUUCUGUCUGCAUGCGAGCCCUCGGCCUCAAAGAUCACUUUAAUAAUGUGAUUCAGUUUCCAAAUGAAGUUCACAUGAGGUAGGCUCUUGGCUAAUUGCUAGAGACCCGGAGACUACUGUCGAAGAGGGGGAGAAAGACAGACUGAUAGAUGUGGACAACAGGUGACAGUGACAUCAUGGAGGGAGGUGUUCGUGGUUGUGUUGGAGGGUGGAUAGAGUCAAGAGAGACUGACGUGUCUGAAAGGCACUCAAGUCUCUCUGGGCAGAGGGUGCAUGUCUGGACACAGGCGUGGGUUUCAGGCACUGUGGUAUGUGGUGACAAAGGAGCUGGGCUUGCAGGCCUGGGUGGAAAUGAGUGUUGCUGUGGGUCUCAGCAGAGGUUGAUAUAGCUUAUCUUUAGAAGAGUGUCUGCCAGGGAACAGAGCUCCCCAGAGGUGUGACCGUGACUUUCUGCGUGUGCUGCCUGGGGUGAUGAUACUCUAGUGACCAUUCCACAGCUGGAUUUUGGGAUCCAAAGCUCCCAUAAGUGCAUUUUUCCCCACCAUCAGGUUCUGUAGAUGCCUUAAAUCACCCACGCAGGCAAUCCUGUCCUUCAGUGCUACAUCUCUGCCAGGUAGAGUUGAACACACAUGAGCUAAAACAGAGAGGGAAGGCAAGGCCUCAACCAGACAGUCUUGGAGAGGGCAGCUCAUGUUUUUCUAGAAUAUUUUAAUCAGUCGACUGGCAUGGGCCCCAAGAGGUUUAAGAAAUUUGACCGCAUUUAAAAAAAAAUUGCUUAGCUAUUGGUGACUCAAGCAAGUAACAUAAGAGGACCCAGAGACUGUAAAGAGCUAGGCUUGGCAAAUAUCUGUUGCCUCUGUCUUUGAGCCUUCCUUCUCUUUCUCUGUCUGCCUCAGUUUCAUUCUGCCCUCAGAAGUUCUAUUCUGAUUCAGAUUCCAGCCCAGCGCCAAGAGGGAUCACUGACAACAGUGUGAGUUACUUUGGCUCUCAGAGUCCUAUGGUAGUGGCGCAUGGUGACAACCUGAUGCUCACAGUGUGGUGGCGAUGACAGCAAUGAUGGCAGCUGUCAAAACCACAGGUCCUGCAAUGGAGUUGACUUCAGCAUAGUAUGCUGCGGUAGACAGCUCAUAACCCUGACCCCUCUGGCUCUAGCCUUGCUCUGGGUUUCCUGCCACUAGGAAAUCAUACUGUGGACACGAAGAAACUGGACCAGAUCUCUUACAACCUGCUGUGCACGGAAAGACUUUCUGAGUUGCCCUGAGCGGACCAAACGCAGAUGAGGAAUACUUUGUGAUCUUCGUACCUACUGCAACCCUCAAACCAUGCUCCACAUACAACAUGUGUUUAUUUGGUAAAUAGACAAAGGCAGAGUGAAUCGGGAGACUGGGUUCCUAGAUCUCCCCCGAGGCUUAAAACUGGACAGAGGGGACCGUUCUUGCAGAGGACCUGAGUUCAAUUCCUAGCACCCUCAGGCAGCUCAUGACUGUCUAUGCCUUGAGUCCCGUGGAAUCUUAUGCCUCUGGCCUCCUUAAACAUUUAUACUUGUGUGUAUAUAGCCACACAUAAAUCAUUAAAAAUAAAAUUAAAUUAAAAAAAUGUUGUAUGGAAACUUUGCUACAUCCCGUCCUUCUUCAGACAGCCUUUGAAUGGUGGCUGGAAUGCAGCAGCUGACUGGUCACCCCUUAUUUAUUGCACAUCUACUCUGUGCUCUGAACGGUCUUUGUGGCUGAGAAAUGUCUAAGUGCCCUAAGCUGUGGACUUCUGUGCCUUCUCUGGGACAGAGGUUUUCCGAGUGCCUCUCACUCACAGAGCUGACUUUCCACCAUAUCCCACUUGACAUGAGUGGGCAGAUGUCCUUCUGUGUGUGUAGUGUUGCAGGAAUCACGCGUCCCAUGCCCAGUGAAAGUCUGGUGACUGAAUGUCAAGCGCCCAAAAAACUGUCUUCAAGAGGCUGGAGAAAGGCCUUGUUACAGAGCUUCCUGCACAAGUAGGGGACCUGAGUUGGGAUCCCCAGCAAAGACAUGCAAAGUAAGCUGGGCAUGGGCGGUGCCUGUGGUGGGUGGUGGAGGAGUGGACAGGACAGACCCUCCCAACUCGCUGGCCAGUCAGUCUAGUGAAUCCCUGAGCUCCGGGUUCAAGGGCAGACUGUACUUCAGAAAAGGAGAUGGGGAUGAUUGAAGAAGACACAUGAUACUCCCUUCCAGCUUCCACAUGGAUCCGCGUGAGUGCAAAAAUAACACAUACUCAUGCCCCUACCGACCACAGUCUUCUACACACAUGGCCGGUUGUUUGUGGGCCCAGCAGUAAUGGCUUUCUUGCAGAGCUUGUGGGAAUGAGGCGGCCCUCGACUGGGCCUGCAGAACCAAUCUAGAUGCGGCUCCCCUCAGCUGCUUUCUGACCUCAGAAAGUCCUUGGCUGAAACAAGUUUCUUCCCGUGAAAUGAAAGGUUUGGCUCUGUGCUGCUCUUCCGUGUCUUCCGGCUCAGAUCCACUCAGAUUUUAGGGCUAUUAAUAGCAUCUUUAGAACUGUGCUAAGAUGUAAAAAUGUGUGUUCCCUGAGGGCCGUGGCGGGCACGGAAGGAAGAGAACCUGGGACGACAAAGAACUCACUUCUGCCUGGCUCAGAAAGGGCUUGUUUUCUUUCCUUAUAAAAUAUAGAUGGGAGAGACUUCUGUGGACUCUGGGGUCCUACGGCAAUUAAUUAGUUAAUGUCUGUGCAGUUCGAAGGGAGCAGAAACCCAUCCCAUGUAAUAAGCUGUAGUGUUGUUAUUUUCCACCCAGAUUCUCCCAUUGCGCUUCAGUUUCAUAUUCCAGUCACCAUAGCAGCACCGGUCGGGGCUCUCCUGGUUCAUUAUGCUAGGAGGGGAAGGGGAAAGAAUUCCCUUUAAAGUUUCCGGUGUUAGCUCCUCUCUGUCUCCAACCCCUUCUCCCAUCUCUGUAGUGCAACAUGAAACCGGGCUAAUGACUCGGGGUCAGUAAAUAUGGCCGCUCCUGUUCUUCCCUCAAAUUCACUAUGAUCUGGAGACACCGACACUGUCCCCGGGCUAGCAAGUGGUACAUUCAGAUACUCCAGAGCACGCUGCCCUUUAGGGCUUCUUCAAGUGUGUGUGUGUUGUGUGUGUGUGUGUAUUUGUGUGUGCGUGUGUUGUGUGUGUAUGUGUUUGUGUGUGCAUGAGUGUGAGGGAGAGAGGGGGACGGAGGGACGGAGAGAGGGAGAGAGAUUAAGAUCCUGCUUCUUCCAUAUGGUAAGAUGGGACAUGUUUGACAAAGGCAGAAUUCACAUAGAUGUUUCCUCAGGCUUGAGUGUUGCCGUUGCUACCCUUGAUCAGAGCAACUGUGAUCACACAACAAGACCCUCACGAGACUGCGAUUAUGACCAUUCCCUGUGAGGGGAAGGCUACGGUGGCUCUCCAGGCUUUCAUGAGAUGCUUCCAAAUUAUGUAGGAAGUAAAUGGCUAACUAGGGUGACGUUUGUUAGUGGUGAAGCUUUUGUGUAUCCACACAAUUCUGUAAGUAACCUGAAUAACCUUGGUUCACCAGGCUGGACUUGGGCAGAAUACACUCUUGGGUCUGUUGAUGUCUUCUACAUUUAAACUCAAACAGGAACCAGUAUAAUCAAGAAUGUGUAGAGCAUUCAUGGGGUGGAGUCUCGAUGUGGCGGUCAUCUUUCUGAGAUAGGGAGGCAGGUCUCCCAGCUGUAGUGGCAGUUGCAUGGCUGUUGCUAAGGGGCAUUAGGAUAAGAGGCCGAGGUCUAGAUGUCUUUACAGAGGGAGCGUUCCCUGGCUCAGUAUCCAUCCUCUGCUAGGUACUUCCAACUCUGAUGUCCACACUCAAGUGCUCAGCUCACGGGGAAAUCAAUCGGUGUGGCUGGAAAGAACUUGGUAGAUCUGAGGCAGAUCUGGCAGAUCCGAGGGAUGUGGCUUGUUAUAAGAAUUUGGUUCUAAAUCAGUUAAGAGGUGAAGAAGAAAAAAAGAAGCAGACAAAAAAGGCCUGCUUGGGUCACUUAGAGGCAAACGUGGCAAGACUUAUACAGAGCUGGAAUUCCUAGAGAAGAAAAAAGAAGGCUUUAAGGUUGAAUAGCAGUUCACAGGAGACACAAACAACGAGGCACGGGCUAUUCCUACUGGGCCGCUGUUGCUGAGGAAGGAGGUGUCAUGGACUGGUAGGAACCACCACAGCCACUCCCCAACAGGGUGACCAAAGUAGCUUGUAGGUGAGGGGCAUGCGGGGUGACCAGAGGCCUGGAAACAAAUUGUGGAUUUGUUGGUUACCUGCCAGGGUACAGAGCACCAGGGCUUUUUAUGUUGGGCCUGAGAGAGUCUUAAUUCAUGCAACUCCCAGAAGCAAUGGGGUAAAAGAAAGCAGGGGUGUGGGAUAGAGUGUUACAGAGAGUAAAGGCUGUGUUUGUCCAUGGGACAGGCAACUCCCUUCAUAAAGAGUACAGCAUGUACGUUUCUUCCUUGAAAGAAAGUAUAGUGAGGUUGGACACAGUUUCCCAGGCCUGUGUCCCGUUCAGCAGCUAGCUGUGGCUGAUGGAGAACUAUGUCAGUCAAGGAGAAUGACUCCAGGAUUAUACACAGCUAAAUGAGGUGGUGACUUCCUUCCAAGUCACAGUACUGGAGACUGUUCUUUUGGAAGAAUAGCUGAUACAAGGAAACUCGUAGGUCUCCUGGCUUCUUUCUCUGAUGUCCCUCUCCUGGAGCCUGGCACCUGAUUUAAGUCUGAGCUCAUAGGUUUCUCUUUACCCCAUUGUGCUGACUGCUUUUAUGUCAACUUGACGCAAGUUAGAACCAUCAGAAAGGAAGGAGCCUCAGUUGAGAAAAUGGCUCCAGAAGAUCCAGCUGUAAGGCAUUUUCUUAGUGAUCAAUGGGGAGGGCCCAGCGCAUUGUGGGUGGAGCCAUCCCCUGGGCUGGUCGUCCUGGGUUUUAUAAGAAGCAGGCUGAGCAAGCCAUGAUGGCAAGCUAGUACGUAGCAUCCCACCAUGACCUUUGCAUCAGCUCCUGCCUCCAGGUUCCUGCCUUGCUUGAGUUACUGUCCUGACUUCCUUCAAGGAUGGAUGUGUAAUCCCAAUAAAACCUUUCCUCACCAACAUGCUUUUGGUCAUGGUGUUUAUCACAGUGAUAGAAACCCUGGUACCCAUGGAUAACCUCCUCACCUGGAGAAGGCCUAGCUGGUGUCAGGAAUUCUGAUGGCGUCUGGCCUAAUCUCACAGACUCAGCUUUCUGACUUGACCCUCUCGUCCUGCUGUAACUAGGAGAAGGCUCUGUUUGACUGCGAUAAAGACACAGUCUGAGCCUGGGGUUCAGAACCUAGAAUUACAAGAGUUCUGGAGCUCUCCAAGUUUAAGCGUCUCCUAGGCUGGGUCUGUGGGUCUUUACAUAAUGAUCUCCCAGGCAAGUGAGUGGCACAGCUGGUCAGGCUGCAGCCCUUGUUUCUGUGCAGGGAGAAGAUGUAUUAGCGUCUCAGGUCUGGGCAUCAUUGGCAUCUCAAGCUCGAAGAGGAUCUCUGGGGACCCGUGUCAGUGGAGGCACGCUUCGUUGCACAGAAUGCCCUUUCUCCCGAGCUCGGCAGGGCAGGAAGCUUUAGGGGGAUCAUUGAAUGUUUCCCAGGAGGCAGCUAGCAAAGGCAGUAGGUGAGAGACAUGAGCAGGCUGAACUGAUUUAUAGAAUCAUAAGGAGAGAAGGCCACGGGAUGCACAGCAAAGGGAAACCAGAUUUCACUGUGCUUAUUGGUGUUGGGGU